UUCAGACACCAUUUCUGAAUCUGGCAACUCUAAACCUGAACUCCGCAUAUCAGAAUUGCCUACCUUCAGUGUUAUAUCCCACAGGAAGAUUACAUCAUUUGAAGUGAUACUGCAGAAGAAAAAUCCAAGCAAAGCAUGGUGACUCUGAGGAGGCCAGGGAUCCAGGCUCACUUACCAGGUGAGGACUACAUAGUAAAGACAUUUCUGGAAAGAUCUGAAAUCCUGACAUUGACCCGUCAUGGCCACUGGAUGUCACUAAGACCAAUAAUAUGGAUGUGAGCCAAAAUGUUCAUGAAAGAUUACAUACUAGUAUUUCAUUUUAUUUCAGAUUUAUUCUCCACACCAGAAAAUUCAAAAUCUUACAAGAUACAAUUGAUUUAUAAGGAGCAGAGACAGGAAAAAUAGACAUAUAUCACAAUGAUGGUAAAAAAUAAAAUGGUAAUAGAAAAAGGAAGACAUGGAUUAUAACAAAUUUCAGCAUGACUCCAAUAGCUAAGUUUACUGUAGUAGGCACCCAUUUGUCUUAAUUAAUGGAGCUAAAACUAACUGGAAUCCAAGUUGUUAUGCUUAAUGCAGAAUCCAAACUUAAAAUGCGCCUUAUAUCAAUUAUUAGUUCUUAUCUUAUUUUCUUAAACAGGGUUAAGCGCUUUUCAGUUUCUGUCUGUAAUGGGUUGAAUUCAUAUGGUGAUGCCCUAACUCCUUGCGCUUAAGAAUGUGAUUUUAUGUGUAGACAGGGUCUUUACAGAGGUCAGGUUAAAAUAAGGUCAUGAGUGUAGACUUUAAUCCAAUAUGACUGGUGUUUUCAUAAAAAGAGAAAUUUGGACACAGAGAUAUACAUUGAAGGGAGACCUGAUGAGGAGAAGGAGGAGAAAAUGACUAUGUGUAAACCAACAAGCCAAGCCUGGAAUGGAUGCUGCCCUCACAGCCUUCAGAAGAAACCAUGUAAUUCCCCUCACUACCUUGUUCAGUAGUUAUGGUUUCCUCCUUUAUUCAGGUAAGGUUUACAGAUAAGUGAAUUAUAAAAGGAAGACUUUAUCUAAAUUCAAAACCUAUACUCUUUUCAUAACCACAAUGUAUAACUCUUUUUCUCUACUAUUAGACUUAAAAUAAACAUCUACAUUUUUAUAAAUAUGUAACAUUAACUUUAAUUAUACUGCUGUUACAAAAACUUUUUUCUUGCAUUUCUAAUUUUAAUAGCAAUGUAAAUUUUAAGCAAUAAUUCUAAACACAUUUAAGUCAUAAUCCAAACAUAUAUAUUAUUGUUCCAAAUAAAAUUUCAAAUAUAUUAUGUAGAAGAUAUUUUCUACGUGUUUGUAACAGCAAUAAUUUGGACUAAUAGAAUUUCAAUAAGCUUGAUGUGGUGGCUCAUGCUAUAAUCUCAGUGAGCUGGGAGGCUAAAAGGUGAGGAUUGCUUGAGGCCAGGAAUUCAGAACAGAUGGGGUAUGUGACAAGACCCUGUUCAUACAAAAAUACAAAAAUUAACUGGAUGUGGUGACACACACCUGUAGUCCUAGCUACUCAGGAGGCUGAGGUGGGAGGAUGGCUUGGGCCCAGGAGUUUGAGGUUACAGCGAACCAUGAUUGUGCCACCGUACUCCAGCCUGGAAGAAAGAGACCCUGUGUCAAUCAAUCAAUCAAUCCAUAAAAUUGGGAAAAUGAUGCAAUAUUUUUAAAAAUCAAGCACACAGCAAUGAGAAGGUUAGUUGAUGAUAGAAGUUGCUAGUAUGCCAAGACCAGCUCAGUCGUGGAGACCCUAACCCAGUGGCACUAGAGGAAUUAAAGACACACACACAGAAAUAUAGAGGUAUGGAGUAGGAAAUCAGGGGUUUAAGCCUUCAGAACUGAGAGCCUCAAACAGAGAUUUACCUGCAUAUUUAUUGACAGCAAGCCAGUGAUAAGCAUUGUUUCUAUAGAUUAUCAAUUAACUAAAAGUAUUCCUUACAGGAAACAAAGGGAUGGGCCGAAAUAAAGGGACGGGCUCUGGCUAGUUAUCUGCAUCAGGAGCAUGUCCUUAAGGCACAGAUUGCUUAUGCUAUUGUUUGUGGUUUAGGAACGCCUUAAGUGGUUUUCCGCCCUGGGUGGGCCAGGUAUUCCUUGCCCUCAUUCUGGUAAACCCACAACCUUCCAGCAUGGGCAUCAUGGCCAUCACGAGCAUGUCGCAGUGCCACAGAGAUUUUGUUUAUGGCCAGUUGGGGGCCAGUUUAUGGCCAGAUUUGGGGGCCUGUUCCCAACCCUAGUAUAAUAUAGUAUUUUAUUCUUUAAGGAUGUCAGAUUCACAUCUUAGAGUGGGAAAAAAUAAAAUGAUGCCUAGGAAGUGAAUUGUAUGCCACCAUAGGAUACACAAAUGUGACCAUUACUAUUUCUGAUAUAAUAGAUUAAAAACCUUCUCUAUAAGUUAUUAACAAUAAGACAUAAAUAUUCUUGUGUCUCUGGGCUUCCAUUAAAAAACAAAACAAAAUAAUGAUUCUAAUGACCAGAAUUAUACUUACUAGAAAAAGAUUGAUAUGAUAUUGCAGGAAAUGCAAACAGUUCUGCCUUUGCAAUUUUACUGCUUACUCUGCCACCUGUUACUAACUCUGAUGCCAGCCAACUAAGCUUAUGCCAAUGCUCAAUACACAUCUCAGACUUUUCUUGCAAUGACAACAAAUUUGAAAGCAUCUGUGUGCUUUUUUUUUUUUAAAAGUAACAUUUUGGUCUUAAAGGAAGAUUUAGCAAAGGCUUGAAAUCAUAAGUCAACAUGGUCAUUUAUGUAUGUCUUUGCAUUUAUAUGCGGUUUUUGAUAAAAGUUAAACAACCUAAAUGGAACACAGAUAAUUUUGCUUAGAAAUUCUUAAAAUUGUUUUCACUGAUAAGAACACCUGAGGUUUUCUGAUCUGCAAGGUUAUCUUCUGUCUUAUGUUAAUCUGAUAUUGUUGGUUUUUAACAAGUUUGUCUCCUAUUUACUGUAAUUGGUAGAUGAUAAUUACUGACACCUUUCUACUUUUGCGAUUUUUUAAUAAAAGUAAAUACAAAUGAAAUCCGUAAAACUUUGCUCAGAUCCAC
rnacentral:lncRNA from 10 species